GGGGCUGUAGCUCAGUUGGGAGAGCGCCUGCUUUGCAAGCAGGAAGUCGUCGGUUCGAGCCCGUCCAGCUCCA
rnacentral:tRNA from 1 species